rnacentral:rRNA from 2 species
UUGACCUCAAAUCAGGUAGGAAUACCCGCUGAACUUAAGCAUAUCAUUAAGCGGAGGAAAAGAAACUAACAAGGAUUCCCCUAGUAACUGCGAGUGAAGCGGGAAGAGCUCAAAUUUAAAAUCUGGCAGCUCUGCUGUCCGAGUUGUAAUCUGUAGAAGCGUUUUCUGCAUUGGACCAUGUACAAGUCUCUUGGAACAGAGCGUCAUAGAGGGUGAGAAUCCCGUCCAUGACAUGGACUACCAAUGCUUUGUGAUACGCUCUCAAAGAGUCGAGUUGUUUGGGAAUGCAGCUCAAAAUGGGUGGUAAAUUCCAUCUAAAGCUAAAUACAAGCGAGAGACCGAUAGUGAACAAGUACCGUGAGGGAAAGAUGAAAAGCACUUUGGAAAGAGAGUUAAACAGUAUGUGAAAUUGUUGAAAGGGAAACGCUUGAAGUCAGUCACAUUCUGCAGAACUCAGCCUUGCCUUAAGGCUUGGUGCACUUUCUGUAGGAUGGGUCAACAUCAAUCUUGGUCAGUGGAUAAAGGAGAAGGGAAUGUAGCACCUUUACGGGUGUGUUAUAGCCCUCCUUCAUAUACAUUGGCUGGGAUUGAGGACUGCAGCAUGCCCUUUGUGGCCUCAACUUCUAGUAUGUUACAUGCUUAGGAUGUUGACAAAAUGGCUUUAAGCGACCCGUCUUGAAACACGGACCAAGGAGUCUAACAUGCCUGCAAGUGUUUGGGUGGAAAACCCUUGCGCAUAAUGAAAGUGAAAGUUGGGAACCUCCGCAAGGGGGUGCACCGAUGCCCGGCCCAGAUGUUUACUGACGGUGCUGCGGUAGAGCAUGUAUGUUGGGACCCGAAAGAUGGUGAACUAUGCCUGAAUAGGGUGAAGCCAGAGGAAACUCUGGUGGAGGCUCGUAGCGAUUCUGACGUGCAAAUCGAUCGUCAAAUUUGGGUAUAGGGGCGAAAGACUAAUCG